GUGAUGGUGAAAUAUUUUUUGCCUUUAGUAACCUGGUAAUGAGUGUUUGCUCUGUUCCCUCAGGACAGCUGCAAUUGGGCAUUGGUGCUGGAUGGGGAGCCUUUCUGAUAAACUAUUUCUUUUUAUUUCUUUAAAAGUCAACCUACUGGAGAAGCCAGGUCUGAAGUUUGGACGUCAUAAUCACAGCAGGAGGAUUCCUGUUCACCCCAUUCUCAUUGCAGCUUGUUCUGCCCCCAGAGGCUUCUUCAGACACAGUGUGCAGAUGGUGAGGAAGUCCACAGAGCUCCUGCUAGAUGAGGGUGGCCUAUGUUAGUGCAUCCAGGUGUAGACAAGACUGUGUCUCCUUGAGAACAGAAACUGCCUGUCUUGUUCACCUCCUCCUCCCUGCGCCUAGAACAAUGAUGAGUUUAUGGCAGAUGGACGAUGGAUCAGUGUUAGAUGGAUGCCCACCAUCCAAGGGAAUGAAUGGUUUACCUUCAAAUGACACGUCUGCCUGAGAGCUUGCUAAGCACAUAGAUUUACUGCCUGCUGCCCUCAGCACUAGUUCUGCCCAUUAUGAAUGUGUGGUCACCAAUCUUCAAAAUGUGACACAAAGGCCCCAUCUAUUGCCAGGAGUGGACACCAUUGAUGCUUUCCCCAGAACUCAUCCCAACACCAGUGUGGAUAAACCUGUACCUCUUGGAAUGUGGAGACCGCAUGGAAUAAAUGACACCAAAUGAUACAUAGUCUUAAAGUGACUUUGAGGUUUCAUUUUAGCUUAGUAAUUUUAUGGAAACUUGCUAGUCCACUCCUUACCUGUCUCUGUCUUCAUGUAAAAUUACCCAGAUCAUUCAGCUGUACAAUAUACUCAGCCUGUGGCUUCAAGAAGCCCUGACACAUGUCUGCCUGACCAAGGGCUUCUGUGGCCCAGUGAGAAGCUCAGUGUGAAAUUGUCCAUAAAACCUUUCUGUUGGUGUAGGGGAGCUCACAUUAGCCCCACUAAUAGGGAUUCUCUUAUCUGAUUUCCUUUUUUAUCCAGGAAAGAACAGCCCCACAAUUGAAGAUAGGACAGGGAAGGAGGGCAUUUGAUCCUGGGAAAGGAACGGAAACCACCCAAAGCCACUUGGAAGUAGAGGGGCCUGGUCAGUUCAACCUGCUUCAUCAACAUGCAGCAAGAGGGAGCAGGAAGGAUGUAGACACUGGACCAGGGGGAAGAAACCAAAAGCAGAGUGAGAGGAACCUUCUGGAGUAAAGAGGGAAAGAACUGUGGAUACAUCUACAAUGUUCUCCAGGCCAACAGUAACAAUGGCAGCUUCCUGGGUCUCACUUUCCUGAUUGUGGCAGAGGUGGCAGCUCCUCUGGCAGAUUGGUUCUGCCACAUUCUGGGAUUCACCCAGAGCACUCUCUCCCAGCCCUUCCAAAAGUUCCUAAUUCA
ensembl:lncRNA